GAAAAGCACUCUGAAGAGAGAGUCAAAAGACCGUGAAACCGCUCAGAGUAUAAGCCAAUGGAGCUUGGAAGGCUUCCGCAGUGUCGGCCAUCCAUGUGGUGUGUCGUGAGGCAUGUAGCACGGUUCGUUGGGCGAAGCAUUGAGUUUGCCGAUCAGCUUACGUGCGGGGAUUCGGUUUGGGGGUCUUAGGCUUCGGCCGAAGGGCUCCUGGCCGGUUCCUUUUGAAUGAACGUUCAGAGCUACUGUGUCCUAAUGCGGUUACGCCCACCACGGCACGUUGUGAGGUCACCCACAGGCUCAAACUGCCGAUCGCGCAUCCAGGACGAUGGCAACGAUGCGUUGUUCAAUCAGCUCGAUCUUUUUGAGUGGAGCUGUCACGCGUGUCUAGUCCUGGGUCGGGCGGCGACCGAGAUAAACCUGGUAUGAUCCUCUUGCGACGAGCUGCUUUCUGGCCAGACCGACGUCCAGGCGCUUCCACUGUGCCGGAAGCGUCAAUCCCAGGCGGUUUGAACCCAGCUGCAUUCUGCAAGGUCUCUCAGCCGGGCGUUGGUCUGAGUGGUGUUAAGUCCAGCACCAUCGGUCACGUCUCGAAACACGGGCCAAGGAGUAUAGCAUGUGUGCAAGUCUAAGGGUCUCACAAAACCCGAAGGCGAAGUGAAAGCAAGUCUGUGGCGGGGGAGCUACGGCGAACCCGUCAGCCUUGUGGCACUCUGUGUUGCUCGGCUUAUGGCAGAGCUGAUCCUGCUUCUCGGUUAAUUCAUGGUGCAGGCGCAAGCUCCGGGCUCACGUACAACACUGGUCACCUCGUGUGGCUGUGUUGUGAGCACCGUGGAGCAUGCAUGCUAU
rnacentral:rRNA from 1 species